UAUUAAUAUUUACAAUUUAUUUUAUUAUAAAUAUUUAUAUAUAUAGCUUUAUACUCUUUGAUAUUUGUUGCUUAUUUGAUUUUCAAACAUCAAGAAACUUAACAAAUUUCCAUUGUUAUAAACUUGCUCAGAUUCACUCAGUUACUCGACAGUGUCAGAUUUUUACAGAGAAUAGAAACAUGCCAUUUUUGCGAGUAGGUUUCAGAUUAUAUCAAGAAUAGUAUAUUCUAAUGAGGAGACUUGAAAAAUUUAUUUAGUAAAUAAUUAAAGUAUGUCAUUUUUAUGUCUUUUCUAUGUUUGAAAUCAGGAUGAUUGAUGGCAAGGUGGUUAGUGCAUUGAAAAUAUAGGUCUUCUGUUUUAUAACAACAUAUGAGGAAUUCUAGUUAGAGCUAGAAAUUUUCAGAAAUGGUCUUACCUGGCUAUUUUAGGGUCUGUCCUCUCUGUCUAGUCAUCUUCAUUGUGAGCCUAAUCUGUUAUGGACACAAUGACUUUUAAUGCAUGUAGAGCAAGAAGAUAGAUCUACAUGUUGUUUAAUAUUUGUAAUUAAAAAUGUAAGAGAGUAGUUAUAUGAUUUGAGAUUUUUUCAUAUUAAUAGCAGAUAAUGUUUUUAAUAUUCAAGCAAUCAGUUUAAAAUUUUACAAAAUCUGUGAAUUUACUGUCUGUUUUCCAUUUUAUGUUGCUUGUAUGAGCUCUUUUCUUUUUGAAUAGACUGUUACUCUAGUGUAUUACUGGGUGGUUAUUAUUUUUUGCUCUAUUCAAAUGUAUGGCCUGUCACAGAAGUCUCUGCUAAUAGCAAUGAAAUAAAAAUGCCUUCCUUUGUUAAAUUAUGCUCAGGACUGUUUUAAAAAUAAAUUUUUAUCAUUACAAUUUUUUAUACUCACUGCUAUUCAUUAUAUGCAACAAAACACUUGUAUAAACCAUUUGUGAUGAUUAAGAUUAUUACUGAUUAUAAGAAGAUUGCAAUUGAAAAUAUAUAGAGAGAUAUUUUCAAAUAAUGACUUUUUAGCUAAGAAUGAUAAAAAUCUUCAAUAACUUUAUCCAUGUAAUGUUUUUCAAUGUUUUUAUUAAGGUAUUUGUUUAAUGAUUCCUGUGUAAAUAUGAAUUUUCUCUUCAAAAGAUAAAAAAAGUUCAUUAUUACCUGCUUUUUUUAAGUGGAAAGUUAACUUCUGUUUAGUAAAGUUACUCUGUUACUUUUUUUAUAACAUUUUCCUCUAUAAAAAGAAAAAGAUCUGCUAGAAAAUAUUCCUUACAGAUACCUUGGCUAGACAAAGCAUUCAGUAGAAAUAUUUUUAACUUAUAUAAAGUUUCAAUUGAAUAGUCAGUUAAACUUAAAUUGUUAUUAUCAAAAUUGAAUUAUAACAUUUUGACAUUUCAAAGUAAAAUUAUAACAAAAUGUUUUAAUAAAGCAGACUAACUUACAGAGAAGAUUCAAGAGCUUGUUGGGAACAGCAGUUCUGAAUGAAAUUGCUAUUCUUGACAAGUAUCUAGUACUCAAAGUACAUGAAUUUUUUUAUCUAAGGUAUAUAUAUCCAUUUAAAACUUUUUUUGCUAUAAUUUAAAUAAAAAAGAAGUAAGUUGUUAUUUACAAAAUAUUAAUUUAAAACAAAUACAAUACUUUUUUUAAUCUUUCAAACUAUUUAUUUUUAAUUUUUAACUAUAAGUUUUAAUGUAAGUUUUGUUUCUAUAUGUUUGAUUCGUAACAUUCAUAUAUAAUGCAUGAAUAUUAAAUUUUUUUAAGUUAUAUUUUAUAUUAUGAAACACGAGAAGUUUUAUUGAUAGUACUUGUUAGAAAAGAAUUCAAUAUCAGGGACUGUAAUAAUAAUGAUUUAUGUAUCGUCUUUUCUUACAUAUCCUACAUUUAUUUAAUGUUUUUAUGCAAUCGAAAAGCCUACUGAUAAACUGGAAAUUAUUACAGUCGUUGCAUACAACAUUUUCAAUGCUAGUGUUUGGUAAGAGCUUCUACAGUACGACUUGGCCGGGGUAGUAAUGUGUGCUUUGCUAAUUAUAAUAAAAGGAUCUGCCUUACAACUAAGAUGCCUGUGUUUGUUUUUUCUCAUUUACUAGCUAAAAGGUGGGGACAACGGCUUAGAUUCAUCUGCGGCCUAUAUCCGAGCAAAUAUGGGAUACGCGUGGCCAUUUUAUAAGCCUGUAGAUGCGAAGUUGUUGGAUUUACCAGAUUAUCACGAAGUUAUUAAACAUCCUAUGGACCUGGAGACAAUUAAG
rnacentral:lncRNA from 1 species